UGGGGAAUAUUGCACAAUGGACGAAAGUCUGAUGCAGCAACGCCGCGUGGAGGAUGACACAUUUCGGUGCGUAAACUCCUUUUAUAUAGGAAGAUAAUGACGGUACUAUAUGAAUAAGCACCGGCUAACUCCGUGCCAGCAGCCGCGGUAAUACGGAGGGUGCAAGCGUUACUCGGAAUCACUGGGCGUAAAGAGCGUGUAGGCGGGUAUAUAAGUCAGAAGUGAAAUCCUAUAGCUUAACUAUAGAACUGCUUUUGAAACUGUAUACCUAGAAUGUGGGAGAGGUAGAUGGAAUUUCUGGUGUAGGGGUAAAAUCCGUAGAGAUCAGAAGGAAUACCGAUUGCGAAGGCAGCCAUCUGGCCUAAUACUGACGCUGAGGUACGAAAGCAUGGGGAGCAAA
rnacentral:rRNA from 1 species